rnacentral:rRNA from 1 species
UACGAAGGGGGCGAGCGUUAUUCGGAAUCACUGGGCGUAAAGCGUGCGUAGGCUGUUUGGCAAGUUGGAAGUGAAAGCCCAGGGCUCAACCCUGGAAUUGCUUUCAAAACUGCCAGACUCGAAUCCGGGAGAGGAUAGCGGAAUUUCCAGUGUAGUAGUGAAAUACGUAGAUAUUGGAAGGAACACCAGUGGCGUAAGCGGCUAUCUGGACCGGCAUUGACGCUGAGGCACGAAAGCGUGGGGAUCAAACAGG